UACAGAGGUCUCAAGCGUUGUUCGGAUUCAUUGGGCGUAAAGGGCGCGUAGGCGGUCGUGACAAGUCACUUGUGAAAUCUCCGGGCUUAACUCGGAACGGUCAAGUGAUACUGUCGGACUAGAGUACAGAAGGGGCAACUGGAAUUCUCGGUGUAGCGGUGAAAUGCGUAGAUAUCGAGAGGAACGCCGGUGGCGAAAGCGAUCCGCUGGACCCUUUCUGACGCUGAGGCGCGAAAGCCAGGGGAGCAAACGGG
rnacentral:rRNA from 1 species